rnacentral:rRNA from 1 species
CCUACGGGUGGCAGCAGUGAGGAAUAUUGGUCAAUGGGCGCGAGCCUGAACCAGCCAAGUCGCGUGAGGGAUGACGGUCCUACGGAUUGUAAACCUCUUUUGCCGGGGAGCAAGCGUGCGUUCGUGAACGCGCGUCGAGAGUACCCGGAGAAAAAGCAUCGGCUAACUCCGUGCCAGCAGCCGCGGUAAUACGGAGGAUGCGAGCGUUAUCCGGAUUCAUUGGGUUUACAGGGUGCGCAGGCGGGCCUUUAAGCCGGCGGGGAAAUCGCGGGGCUCAACCCCGCCGAGCCGUCGGAACUGGGGGCCUUGAGUGCGGCGGAGGCAUGCGGAAUGCGCGGUGUAGCGGUGAAAUGCAUAGAUAUCGCGCAGAACCCCGAUUGCGAAGGCAGCGUGCCGUGCCGCCACUGACGCUGAGGCACGAAAGCGCGGGGAUCGAACAGGAUUAGAUACCCCUGUAGUC